rnacentral:lncRNA from 1 species
CUCCAAAGUAGGAGUUGCCUCCGACCAGGGAAGGGGAUUCCAACGCAAUGCUAGGUGACACUGAAGUGGUCAUUUAUAACUACGUUACUAUGGAGACAGGAAAGAUAUAUAUUUAUCCAAACCUGGGGAUGAAUUAAUCUUAAAAAGAUGAGUACAAGUACUUCAACAGAUGAGGACGAUCUGAAGGUUAGGACAUCUGAUUUUGGUUCUCCAAAUAGGAAGGCUGUUUGCUUCAUGUGAAUAGGAGCAAAGCCCAAGGAGAGGACACCUUCACCCUCCAACCCUUCUGAGUAAAACGGAGAUCCUAUCCCUAAAGCAAGGCUCCAAGUCAAUGGGCCUGUGCACAAUAGAAGAACAUCUGGCCUCGGGGACACGUUUACCUCUAGGCAAAGAGCAGGAGCGCAGUAUUGAGUAUUGUUGUAAACAAUACCAUUUGGAAACCUGGUUCCGCUCCUGUGAGUCCAGCAAACGCCUCAAAGACGCCCUUUUAGGAUUUCUUUAAAUUAAUCUGAGACAACGUGGGAAUACUCUCUAUAUAGUAUCUAGCCUACUGGAUAUGUGGUUUUUGUUGUUGUUGUUGUUUGUUUUAUUUUUAUUUUUGGCACGGCACUGAAGUCUGUGUAAAUAAAAGGCCCAGAUAAACUCGGCGAUGGGCCUUUCUGUCAAAACCAGGCUGGCUUUACAUGGCAAAACCAGGGCCUUACGUGUUUGGACACCUGACUUUCCAUGUCGCCCGUAAAAUCGCUGGUAGGGAAACAUUUUAAUUUAGUAGGCACCUUAUUUUUACCGAGAUGCUUAAGGCUGUCACGAGCUACUACUCUUGAUGGUAGUAGGAAAUAAACACGAGCGAUGAAAAC